rnacentral:rRNA from 1 species
ACUCCUUCUGGGAGGCAAGCAGUGGGGAAAUAUUGCCCAAUGGAGGACACUCUGAUGCAGCUAACGCCGCCUGGACGGAUGACAAUUUUUCGGAGCGUUAACUCCUUUUUAUAUAGGAAGCUAAUGACGGUACUGGUUGACUAAGCACCCGCUAACUCCGUGGCUAGCAGCCGCGGUAAUACGGAGGGUGCAAGCGUUACUCGGAAUCACUGGGCGUAAAGAGCGUGUAGGCGGGUUAUUAAGUCAGAAGUGAAAUCCUAUGGCUCAACCAUAGAACUGCUUUUGAAACUGGUAACCUAGAGUAUGGGAGAGGUAGAUGGAAUUUCUGGUGUAGGGGUAAAAUCCGUAGAGAUCAGAAGGAAUACCGAUUGCGAAGGCGAUCUACUGGAACAUUACUGACGCUGAGACGCGAAAGCGUGGGGAGCAAACAGGAUUAGAUACCCUGGUAGUCCACGCCCUAAACGAUGUACACUAGUUGUUGCCAUGCUAGACAUGGCAGUAAUGCAGUUAACACAUUAAGUGUACCGCCUGGGGAGUACGGUCGCAAGAUUAAAACUCAAAGGAAUAGACGGGGACCCGCACAAGCGGUGGAGCAUGUGGUUUAAUUCGACGAUACGCGAAGAACCUUACCUGGACUUGACAUUUACAGAACUUUCAAGAGAUUGAUUGGUGUCUGCUUGCAGAAACUGUAGGACAGGUGCUGCACGGCUGUCGUCAGCUCGUGUCGUGAGAUGUUGGGUUAAGUCCCGCAACGAGCGCAACCCACGUCGUUAGUUGCUAACAGUUCGGCUGAGAACUCUAACGAGACUGCCUGGGCAACCAGGAGGAAGGUGUGGACGACGUCAAGUCAUCAUGGCCCUUACGUCCAGGGCUACACACGUGCUACAAUGGGGUAUACAAAGAGCCGCGAUACCGCGAGGUGGAGCAAAUCUCAAAAAUAUCUCCCAGUUCGGAUUGUACUCUGCAACUCGAGUGCAUGAAGUUGGAAUCGCUAGUAAUCGUAGAUCAGCAAUGCUACGGUGAAUACGUUCCCGGGUCUUGUACUCACCGCCCGUCACACCAUGGGAGUUGAACUCAU